GCGGCGUUAGUUUAGUGGUAGAACGGUGCCUUGCCAAGGCACGGGCGCGAUUUCGAUUAUCGCACACCGCUCCA
rnacentral:tRNA from 1 species